UAGGCAGUCAGAGGCGAUGAAGGGCGUGCUAAUCUGCGAAAAGCGUCGGUAAGGUGAUAUGAACCGCUACAGCCGACGAUACCCGAAUGGGGAAACCCAGUGUGUUUCGACACACUAUCAUCACAUGAAUCCAUAGUGUGAUGAGGCGAAUCGGGGGAACUGAAACAUCUCAGUACCCCGAGGAAAAGAAAUCAACCGAGAUUCCCCCAGUAGCGGCGAGCGAACGGGGAGGAGCCCAGAGUCUGCAUCAGCUUGUGUGUCAGUGGAAGCGUCUGGAAAGUCGCACAAUAGAGGGUGAUAGUCCCGUACACGAAGAUACACAGGUUGUGAGCUCGAUGAGUAGGGCGGGACACGAGAUAUCCUGUCU
rnacentral:rRNA from 1 species